rnacentral:rRNA from 1 species
GACGAACGCUGGCGGCGUGCUUAACACAUGCAAGUCGAGCGGUAAGGCCCUUUCGGGGGUACGACGAGCGGCGAACGGGUGAGUAACACGUGGGUGACCUGCCCUCAGCUCUGGGAUAAGCCCGGGAAACUGGGUCUAAUACCGGAUAUGACUUCAUGACGCAUGUUGUGGAGUGGAAAGCCUUGUGCGGCUGAGGAUGGGCCCGCGGCCUAUCAGCUUGUUGGUGGGGUGAUGGCCUACCAAGGCGACGACGGGUAGCCGGCCUGAGAGGGCGGACCGGCCACACUGGGACUGAGACACGGCCCAGACUCCUACGGGAGGCGAGCAGUGGGGAAUAUUGCACAAUGGGCGAAAGCCUGAUGCAGCGACGCCGCGUGAGGGAUGACGGCCU